rnacentral:rRNA from 1 species
AUACCAAUACAAUGCCAAUGGUGUUGUGUUUGGAAUGAGAGUAAUAUAAACAUUUACUCGAGGAACAAUUGGAGGGCAAGUCUGGUGCCAGCAGCCGCGGUAAUUCCAGCUCCAAUAGUGUAUAUUAAAGUUGUUGCAGUUAAAAAGCUCGUAGUUGGAUAUCGGUAACUAUCAUGAGUGUCUACUCUCAAUGAGUACGUACACGAAUGUAGUACCUUCUUUCUGGUAGUAAUUUUAUAUUGCUCCAGAUAUUUUACUUUGAGAAAAUUAGAGUGUUCAAAGCAGGCGUAACUUUGCCUUUGAAUAUAUUAGCAUGGGAUAAUGAAAUAAGACUUUUGCCUUAUUCUCGUUGGUUCUUUUAGGCUUAAGUAAUGAUUAAUAGGGACAGUUGGGGUUAUCUGUAUUUGAUCGCCAGAGGUGAAAUUCUAAGACUGAUCAAAGACAAACUACUGCGAAAGCAUUUAACAAGGAUGUUUUCAUUAAUCAAGAACGAAAGUUGGGGGAUCGAAGAUGAUCAGAUACCGUCGUAGUCCCAACCAUAAACUAUGUCGACCAAGGAUUCGAGAGCGUUACAUGAAUGACCUCCCGGGCACUUAUAGAGAAAUCAUAAGUAUUUGGAUUCCGGGGGGAGUAUGGUCGCAAGGCUGAAACUUAAAGAAAUUGACGGAAGGGCACCACAAGGAGUGGAAUAUGCGGUUUAAUUUGACCCAACACGGGAAAACUUACCAGGUCCAGACACAAGGAGGAUUGACAGAUUGAGAGCUCUUUCUUAAUUUUGUGGGUGGUGGUGCAUGGCCGUUUCUAGUUGGUGGAGUGAUUUGUCUGGUUAAUUCCGUUAACGAACGAGACCUUAACCUAUUAAAUAGUAACACUUACUUGGAUAAUUUACUUCCAAUAGUAGGUGGUUUACUUCUUAGAGGUACUCUUCACGUAAAGAGUGAAUGGAAGUUUGAGGCAAAAACAGGUCUGUGAUGCCCUUAGAUGUUCUGGGCUACACGCUGUUACACUGAUACAUUCAACAAGUAUAAUAUUCCUUACUCUAGUGAGUCGGGUAAUCUUUUAAAUAUGUAUCGUGAUGGGGAUAGAGCAUUGUAAUUUUUGCUCUUGAACGAGGAAUUCCUAGUAAGUGCAAGUCAUUAACUUGCGCUGAUUACGUCCCUGCCCUUUGUACACACCGCCCGUCGCUCCUACCGAUGAAUGGUCCGGUGAGGAUUCGGGAUGACCUUUGAUGCUGAUCUAAUCACAUCACUGAUUGUCAGAACUUAUUCAAACCUUAUCAUUUAAAGGAAGGAGAAGUCGUAACAAGGUU